rnacentral:rRNA from 1 species
GACGAACGCUGGCGGCGUGCUUAACACAUGCAAGUCGAACGAAGAGCGACGGAAGCUUGCUUCUAUCAAUCUUAGUGGCGAACGGGUGAGUAACGCGUAAUCAACCUGCCCUUCAGAGGGGGACAACAGUUGGAAACGACUGCUAAUACCGCAUACGAUCUAAUCUCGGCAUCGAGGAUGGAUGAAAGGUGGCCUCUACAUGUAAGCUAUCACUGAAGGAGGGGAUUGCGUCUGAUUAGCUCGUUGGCGGGGUAACGGCCCACCAAGGCGAUGAUCAGUAGCCGGUCUGAGAGGAUGAGCGGCCACAUUGAGACUGAGACACGGCCCAGACUCCUACGGGAGGCAGCAGUGGGGAAUCUUCCGCAAUGGACGAAAGUCUGACGGAGCAACGCCGCGUGAGUGAUGACGGCCUUCGGGUUGUAAAGCUCUGUUAAUCGGGACGAAAGGCCUUCUUGCGAAUAGUGAGAAGGAUUGACGGUACCGGAAUAGAAAGCCACGGCUAACUACGUG